rnacentral:rRNA from 1 species
GAACGUGGGAANNGGUAAUGUGAAUUGCAGAAUUCAGUGAAUCAUNGAAAUCUUUGAACGCAUCUUGCGCUCCNUGGUAUUCCGAGGAGCAUGCCUGUUUGAGNGUCGUNNAUACUCUCAAUCUUAAGUCUUNUUGUACGAGAAGGUCUUAGGGUUGGAUUUGGAUGUUGCUGCGAUUUUAUUGCAGCUCGUCUCGAAAUGCAUUAGCUGGUCCACCUCGGUCUUAACAAACGGUGUGAUAAGAAACAUUCAUUUGUGACUGUAGCGCUGCUGUUAUAGACUGGUGAAAGGACUGCUUCUAAUCGUCUUCGGACAAUUUUCAUGUCAUCUGACCUCAAAUCAGGUAGGACUACCCUGCUGAACUUAAGCAUAUCAAUAAGCGGAGGAAAAGAAACUAACAAGGAUUCCCCUAGUAACGGCGAGUGAAGCGGGAAGAGCUCAAAUUUAAAAUCUGGCGGCCUAAGGUCGUCCGA